rnacentral:rRNA from 1 species
ACGGUUGACCUCGGAUCAGGUAGGAAUACCCGCUGAACUUAAGCAUAUCAAUAAGCGGAGGAAAAGGAACCAACAGGGAUUGCCUUAGUAACGGCGAGUGAAGCGGCAACAGCUCAAAUUUGAAAUCUGGCUC